AGCGGACUGAGCAGCCGCGUGCGCUUUGGCGUAUGAGGAAAGUCCGAGCUUCACAGGGCAGGAUAACGGCUAACGGCCGCCGGGGGCGACCCUAGGGAAAGUGCAACAGAGAUAUACCGCCGCAAAUGCGGUAAGGGUGGAAAGGCGAGGUAAGAGCUCACCGGCAUAUGGGAGACCAUAUGGCCCUGCAAACCCUAUCCGAAGCAACGCCGACCGAAGCGAUCCAUUGGCCCGAUGGGCUUCAACGGGCGGCUAGAGCUGUAUGGCAACAUGCAGUCGAGAUAGAUGGCUGUUCACGACAGAACUCGGCUUACAGGUCCGCUCU
rnacentral:RNase_P_RNA from 1 species